rnacentral:rRNA from 1 species
UCGAUUGAGUUUGAUCAUGGCUCAGGAUGAACGCUGGCGGUAUGCUUUACACAUGCAAGUCGUACGAGAGUUUUUAACUCAAGUGGCGGGCGGGUGAGUAACACGUAAGAAUUUGCCUUUAGGAGGGGGAUAACAACUGGAAACGGUUGCUAAUACCCCAUAUGCUUUCGAGUAAAAUGGAUUUAUCCGCCUAAAGAGAAGCUUGCGGCUGAUUAGCUUGUUGGUGAGGUAAUGGCUUACCAAGGCGACGAUCAGUAUCUGGUUUGAGAGGACGAUCAGACACACUGGAACUGAGACACGGUCCAGACUCCUACGGGAGGCAGCAGUGGGGAAUUUUCCGCAAUGGGCGAAAGCCUGACGGAGCAAUACCGCGUGAGGGAUGACGGCCUAUGGGUUGUAAACCUCUUUUUUCAGGGAGGAAUCAAUGACGUGUACCUGAAGAAUAAGCAUCGGCUAGCUCCGUGCCAGCAGCCGCGGUAAGACGGAGGAUGCAAGUGUUAUCCGGAAUCACUGGGCGUAAAGCGUCUGUAGGUGGUCAAAUAAGUCAACUGUUAAAUCUUGAGGCUCAACCUCAAAAUCGCAGUCGAAACUAUUCGACUAGAGUAUAGUAGGGGUAAAGGGAAUUUCCAGUGGAGCGGUGAAAUGCGUAGAGAUUGGAAAGAACACCGAUGGCGAAGGCACUUUACUGGGCUAUUACUAACACUGAGAGACGAAAGCUAGGGUAGCAAAUGGGAUUAGAUACCCCAGUAGUCCUAGCCGUAA